GCAAGUCGAGCGAAGUAUUUGUCCGCCGCAAGGCGGAUGGAUACUUAGCGGCAGACGGGUGAGUAACACGUAGAUAACUUACCUCUUAGCGGGGGAUAGCCCGCCGAAAGGCGGGGUAAUACCGCGUAAGAUACUUGAGUGGCAUCACUUGAGUAUGAAACAUCCGCAAGGAUGGCUGAGAGAAAGAUCUGCGGCCUAUCAGCUAGUUGGUGAGGUAACGGCUCACCAAGGCUGCGACGGGUAUCCGACCUGAAAGGGUGAUCGGACACACUGACACUGAGACACGGGUCAGACUCCUACGGGAGGCAGCAGUGAGGAAUUUUGGACAAUGGGGGAAACCCUGAUCCAGCGACGCCGCGCGAAGGAUGAAGGUCUUCGGAUUGUAAACUUCUUUUAUUUGGGACUAAGAAACCUGUGGAAACACGGGGAGUGAAUGUACCAGAUGAAUAAGCCACGGCUAACUUCGUGCCAGCAGCCGCGGUAAUACGAAGGUGGCAAGCGUUACUCGGAAUUACUAGGCGUAAAGGGCAGGUAGGUGGUUUGGUAAGUCUGUUGUGAAAGCUCCCGGCUUAACUGGGAGAGGUCAACGGAUACUGCCAGGCUUGAGUAUGGGAGAGGUUACUGGAAUUCCCGGUGUAGCGGUGAAAUGCGCAGAGAUCGGGAGGAACACCAAUGGCGAAAGCAGGUAACUGGACCAUUACUGACACUCAACUGCGAAAGCUAGGGGAGCAAACAGGAUUAGAUACCCUGGUAGUCCUAGCCGUAAACGAUGCACUUUAGACGUGAGGGGUAUCGACCCCCUUCGUGUCGACGCUAACGCAUUAAAAGUGCCGCCUGGGGAGUACGGCCGCAAGGUUGAAACUCAAAGGAAUUGACGGGGGCCCGCACAGCGGUGGAGCAUGUG
rnacentral:rRNA from 1 species